rnacentral:misc_RNA from 1 species
AACGCAUAUUGCACCCCCUGGUCAUUCCGGAGGGUAUGCCUGUUUGAGUGUCAUUUACAUAUCAAACUAAUUUGAGCUUGCUUGAGUUGGUCUUGGAUGUUGAGGGUUGCUGGUUUAUAAUGACCAGCUCCUUUUGAAUAUAUCAGCUUAGAAUGUAUGAGCCAUUUUAGCUUGGGCUAAUAUGAAUAUUGAAUGCUUUGGUUAAAAUGUGCUUGUUUAAGCUUAUAAUUGUCUAUUGAGACUAUUGAAUCUUGACCAUGACCUCAAAUCAGGUAGGACUACCCGCUGAACUUAA